GAAGACAGACUGAGGGAGUUGGGAGUUCAGCCUGGAGAAGAGAAGGCUUUAGAUAGACUUUAUUGAGACCUUCCAGUAUUUAAAGGGAGGUUAUAAACAGGAUGGUCAACUCUUUGCAUGAGUAGAUAGCGCCAACUCCUGAUGCCUCAGAUGAUGACUGAAUUUCAAAAGAGCACAGAAUGUUUGUAGAUGACAUCUGAACAUGGGAAAGGGAGAACCUGACUUUUCUGAAGGGUCAUUUAAAAUGCUGUACAGAACAGGACACAGCAUCUACAGACAGCAUCAGAACUCUGAAGCCAUUGAAUCAAAAAUAUAUUAAAAAUCUUUUCCAAAUGAAAUCAGGCAACACCUUCUCAAAGAAAGCAUGAGGCAGAGAGAAUAAUUUAGAGUAACUGAUGAGAAAGAAGAGUAAUCCCAGAUUUCAUAAGGAUGAGAUCUUCAGGAGAGUGGAGAAGAAGAGUAGGAGGAAUCAGAAAAGCUCCAUCUUCAAGGGAGAACACAUCACUGGAAAUGGAGAUGUGCUGUGGAAAUGAGGGGAAGGUAUGGAAAAAUAAGUCUCAUAAUGAUGACUCACAAUGUUUUUUAAUCUAUAAGAACACCUGAGAACAAUAAUAUCAGUGCUUUUUGAUUACAGCCCUAGUUGCCAAAUCAAACAGUAAGUCACAAGCAUUGUCCUUGUCAAGAUAUGCUUGCCUAGCCUUUUGCCUUUGUCCUAAAUAUAGUUAGAAUGGAAGCUAUGCUGGCUUGAAUGACUAAGCAUUUCUUCAGAAACUGGAAAAGAAGACACAAAAACUUAGAUUGUGAAAUUAUCAUCGCUGCAGUUUAUCUCUUGUAUAAACAAAUUCUUAGUCCCAGUGUUCUUCUCUGAUUAUCAGAGGAUGACAUGAACUUUGUUCAGUGAAGUUCCCCAAUGACUCCCUCAGGAAAGUAAAUAACUGAUUGAGCCAUUUGUCAUUAUUUCUGGAUACCAAAGGCACAGGGUUUAUUUUGAGCAAAAUUCCUGAUUUCAAAGUCUAUAUUUUAAUUCCACUCGUUUUCAUGAAAGCUCUGACAGUCCAAAGAAACCUUUCGUCUGUUUAAUAUUUUCUUUUACUUAUCUUUUGACAAUGUAAGUAUGCUAAUAGAUCUGCAAAGAGAGAUAAUAUUUAUCACAAUGGCAACUGAGGUAAUGUGAAAAUCUGCUCCCAGAACGUGCACUCGGUGCCCACAGUUGUGUCCAGUUUGUGUUAGCAGUACUAAUGUACUAAUGUAACAUUGUCAGCUCUGUAAAAGUAACUUGCUUAUGUAUUAAAAUCUUAUUAGAUUUAUAGUGCAUUUUAAACAUUUCAGACUUUUUUUCCAGUGCUGUCAGGCAAAACGACCUCACCUAGUUCAUUUAAUUUUGUAGAUUUAACACCAGCUUC
ensembl:lncRNA